rnacentral:rRNA from 1 species
GCUUGUCUCAAAGAUUAAGCCAUGCAUGUCUAAGUAUAAACAAAUCUAUACUGUGAAACUGCGAAUGGCUUAUUAUAUCAGUUAUAGUUUAUUUGAUGAUUCUUGCUACUUGGAUAACCGUAGUAAUUCUAGAGCUAAUACAUGCAUCAAACCCCGACUUCUGGAAGGGGUGUAUUUAUUAGAUGGAAACCAAUGCUGCGGGGCAACCCGGAUUCUGGUGAUUCAUAAUAACUUUCGGAUCGUUUACGAUGCAUCAUUCAAGUUUCUGCCCUAUCAGCUUUGGAUGGUAGGGUAUUGGCCUACCAUGGCUUUAACGGGUAACGGAGAAUUAGGGUUCGAUUCCGGAGAGGGAGCCUGAGAAAUGGCUACCACAUCCAAGGAAGGCAGCAGG